UACGAAGGGGGCUAGCGUUGCUCGGAAUCACUGGGCGUAAAGGGUGCGUAGGCGGGUCUUUAAGUCAGUGGUGAAAUAUGGCAGCUUAACUGUCAAGGUGCCAUUGAUACUGCAGAGCUUGAGUACAGAUGAGGUAGGCGGAAUUGACGGUGUAGCGGUGAAAUGCUUAGAUAUCGUCAAGAACACCUAUAGCGAAGGCAGCUUACUAAGCUGUAACUGACGCUGAGGCACGAAAGUGUGGGGAUCAAACAGG
rnacentral:rRNA from 1 species